UUCAGGAUAAACGCUGGCGGCGCACAUAAGACAUGCAAGUCGAACGGACUUAACCAUUAGUUUACUAUUGGAGCGGUUAGUGGCGGACUGGUGAGUAACACGUAAGCAACCUGCCUAUCAGAGGGGAACAACAGUUAGAAAUGACUGCUAAUACCGCAUAUACCUAAGUACCACAUGGUACAAUAGGGAAAGGAGCAAUCCGCUGAUAGAUGGGCUUGCGUCUGAUUAGAUAGUUGGUGGGGUAAAGGCCUACCAAGUCGACGAUCAGUAGCCGGACUGAGAGGUUGAACGGCCACAUUGGGACUGAGAUACGGCCCAGACUCCUACGGGAGGCAGCAGUCGGGAAUAUUGCGCAAUGGAGGAAACUCUGACGCAGUGACGCCGCGUGCAGGAAGAAGGUUUUCGGAUUGUAAACUGCUUUAGACAGGGAAGAAACAAGACAGUACCUGUAGAAUAAGCUCCGGCUAACUACGUGCCAGCAGCCGCGGUAAUACGUAGGGAGCGAGCGUUAUCCGGAUUUAUUGGGUGUAAAGGGUGCGUAGACGGGAGAACAAGUUAGUUGUGAAAGCCCUCGGCUUAACUGAGGAACUGCAACUAAAACUAUUUUUCUUGAGUACUGGAGAGGAAAGUGGAAUUCCUAGUGUAGCGGUGAAAUGCGUAGAUAUUAGGAGGAACACCAGUGGCGAAGGCGACUUUCUGGACAGAAACUGACGUUGAGGCACGAAAGUGUGGGGAGCAAACAGGAUUAGAUACCCUGGUAGUCCACACUGUAAACGAUGGAUACUAGGUGUAGGGGAUAAUAAAUUCUCUGUGCCGUCGCAAACGCAAA
rnacentral:rRNA from 1 species